rnacentral:lncRNA from 1 species
GGCUGCUAGAAUCCAGGUUCUAACAAUAUUUUCCUAACCUCUUCUCUUUUCCUGAGUUCCAGCUUACUGACACUUGAUCCCAGUGGCCUUCCAAGACCUGCUGGCAGAAAAGGAGAAAUGCUGUACGAGGUUUAUGAAUAGGUCAGUUUGGUAUACAAACUGAAGCCCUAAGUGGACUGCUACUACUAUUGCAGGAACACAGCACACAAGAAAAGGUGUCUGUCUUUCCUGUGUAAUGGACAGGUUUUGAAUCGUGGGCCCAGAAGGAUUGUCUGAAUUAUAAGGAAUGUCCAUUUGUGCUUUAGCAACUUGAAGCUUCAGUGAAAAGAAUCAGAACACAGAGAAAACUUGCUGCUAGGACAAAAAUGAAGGAAAGAAUCAUCCCAGGAUGGUGAUACUCGGGUUACAGGCUCACAGGCAGAAGGGACUUGGCCUUUCUCAGAUGAGACUUUGGACUGUGGACUUCAGAGCUAAGCUUUCUGGCCCCCAGAUCUGCACCUGACCUUUACCACCUCCUCAUCAUCCACUCUGGUCUGCAUCCUCUUGACCGCGUCUGAGUCUCCUUUGGGGCUGGAUGUCUGCUUCAGCAUUAGGAAAUGGACACAUCUAUAGAAUCUCUCAUGGCAACACACCAAGUAUUGUAAACUUCGUCCUUUCAACAAGUUAUAUUACUAAAAAUCGACAAACUGAACUCACAUGAAUGUGUACUUACAGAGUUGUGGCUCCUGAUUCUAUUUAAGGUAUGUUAAAGUAAAAGCAGUUAGAAUAUGGAAUAUUUUUUUCCCUUGACUAUGCCAAAGAAAUAUUGGUGAGGAAUGUUGUGGCUUAUUUUUUGUUCUUUCUACAUUUUAUUUUGUAAAAAUUUAAAUAUUUAAUCAUGCUCUUCAGUCCUUUACCCAUUUUAAGUCUUUUAGUAAGGUUUUAUAACUUUAAACAUACAGAUACUGCAUAUUAUGUAUUAGGUUUAUUUUAACAUUUAACAGAGAUUUGUGACUGACUAUUAUGAGUAUGAAUAUAUAAUAAAUUAUUACAAAUUCUAAUCAGUUACGCUGAUGUGGAAUAUUUUCAAGUGUUGAUCUUGUACCCAGUUAUCUUAUCCAAUAAUCUAUACUUUCAGUGAGCUCUAAUUGAUUUCUUGUAAGAUAAUAUUAUAAAAUGACAAAUUUGUAACCCUUCCAAGUCACUGAUUUCCAAUAUUUAUAUCUCCUUUUAUUUUUAAUUUUUCUUGUUCUUCAAAACUGUUUAAGACUUGGCGUACAUUUUAAAUAAAUAUGGUGAUAAUGAAUGGAGAGAUUAUUGUUGGUAACUAUUCAUCUGUUCUCUCUUUUAUUUUAUUUAUUUACUUUUAAUUUCUUUCUUUCUUUCUUUCUUUUUUUUUUUUUAAGACAAAGUCUCACUCUUUUGC